AUUACAGAGGGUUUUGUGUGCUGCUGGAAAUGGGGAACAUUUAAUUACAGCACGCUCCCUCGAGACAGGAUGGGAUGGGUCAUACGAACACCACAAUCUGUCUGCUGCAGGCCCUGAAGACAGCAUCUUCUCUGAAUCUAAAUCUGCCUUCACCCAGUUUUCUUUGCAACAUUCAGAGACCUCAGCUAAAAUCAAGACCCUCCUAUGUCAGCCUUGAACAAGCACAGAGAAAAUGCAGCCACCUGUGGGAUUCAUCAUGUCCAUGCUUGACUGAAG
rnacentral:lncRNA from 1 species